rnacentral:lncRNA from 1 species
CUCUGGUUAAAAGGUUACAGAUCACAGAUGAAUAUGUCAUUAAGGGACUGAGCUUUAUCAUCUAACGCAAGAUAGCUGGCUCAACAACUGCUCUGAAGGCCUUAUCCAUGUGUGCCUCAAGCCUCUUUUGACAUUUUACUCAAAUAGGCAUCAUCGGUUCAUCACAGGUAAUUUAUCUCCAUGAUUUGCUGCAUAAUUCUCAAGUUCUUUGCUGGAUUACGCAAUUUAGGCUAGUUAAAUAUCCCUUUAACGUUUCAUGCUGUAUCUACCUAUUUGAUGACUUGAUUUUCACAGUUCAUUCACUUCUUGCGAGGUGGUUAUGUGGAGGUAGCCAGGCAAUAACUUAGCUUUAUUUGAAAGAAGUCGAUACAAUCAGUCUUCGCGUGGAAGACUGAGGCCCAAAACACAUCAGAAAACACAAAGGAAACAGAACACAAC